UGUCCGGAAUUAUUGGGCGUAAAGAGCUCGUAGGCGGUUUGUCGCGUCUGCUGUGAAAGCCCGGGGCUCAACCCCGGGUCUGCAGUGGGUACGGGCAGACUAGAGUGCAGUAGGGGAGACUGGAAUUCCUGGUGUAGCGGUGAAAUGCGCAGAUAUCAGGAGGAACACCGAUGGCGAAGGCAGGUCUCUGGGCUGUAACUGACGCUGAGGAGCGAAAGCAUGGGGAGCGAACAGGAUUAGAUACCCUGGUAGUCCAUGCCGUAAACGUUGGGCACUAGGUGUGGGGGACAUUCCACGUUUUCCGCGCCGUAGCUAACGCAUUAAGUGCCCCGCCUGGGGAGUACGGCCGCAAGGCUAAAACUCAAAGGAAUUGACGGGGGCCCGCACAAGCGGCGGAGCAUGCGGAUUAAUUCGAUGCAACGCGAAGAACCUUACCAAGGCUUGACAUGGACCGGACCGCCGCAGAAAUGCGGUUUCCCUUCGGGGCCGGUUUACAGGUGGUGCAUGGUUGUCGUCAGCUCGUGUCGUGAGAUGUUGGGUUAAGUCCCGCAACGAGCGCAACCCUCUUUCUAUGUUGCCAGCGCGUUAUGGCGGGGACUCAUAGGAGACUGCCGGGGUCAACUCGGAGGAAGGUGGGGACGACGUCAAAUCAUCAUGCCCCUUAUGUCCUGGGCUUCACGCAUGCUACAAUGGCCGGUACAAAGGGUUGCGAUACUGUGAGGUGGAGCUAAUCCCAAAAAGCCGGUCUCAGUUCGGAUUGAGGUCUGCAACUCGACCUCAUGAAGUCGGAGUCGCUAGUAAUCGCAGAUCAGCAACGCUGCGGUGAAUACGUUCCCGGGCCUUGUACACACCGCCCGUCAAGUCACGAAAGUUGGUAACACCCGAAGCCGGUGGCCUAACCCC
rnacentral:rRNA from 1 species